UCUCUUGGUGUGGUCCACCUGAGAUUUAGGUCUAACUCAUUUUUUGCAUAAAGCCCUAAAAUGAUCUUGUGAAAUGGAUGGACCGCGUGGAUAAAACACAUACAUCAUGGUGGAGCCCACGGAGCACCGACCACUAGCCACCUAGCUAGUGGCAGCAUCAAUAGCCCUAAAAAUAUCUUGCUCUCCCUCUCCCUUUCUGUGCCAUCAAGAAACCCUAACCCUAAUCUUCCAUCGAGUGAGUGAGACAAAGGCUUGAUUUCUUGAGUGAGCGAUUUUCACAUAGGUAGAUUGGGCGAGUUGAUUGGCGAUUUCAUGCAUGUAGUAUUGCUCUCUCAGUAUUUUAGGGUCCUUUCGUUAUUUUCAUCAGGAUUUUCAGUAAUAGAGGUAAAACCGUUGGUAGGGUUGGUUUUGGCAAGAAAUCUGAUUUUUGUGAGAGCAAGAGAAGUUGGGAGUGGACUGCAUCUCUCGAUGGGCAUGAAAAGCUCGUCAUGCAAAUGGACACUCCAAGAUUGAUGGAUUUGAUCUCGUUGCAUGGAAUUGCAUGAUCUCUAGAUACGUCCAAUGGUCCUGUUUGACGAAAUGCCUUACAGAAACAAUCUCUUUAGAAAAAGCCUGUUUGCGAGAUGUGGAGGGAAAGUAUUCAGUCAAAUGGUUUUUUUUUCCUGUGUGAACUGGCUUCAAGGUGUUUAUUGUGUGACAUGCAGUAAUUCUUUUGGCAUCUGACUAAAAGUCAUUUUGUUUUCCCCUUGAAACAGGUUCUUUAUUUGGGCAGAAGCCUGGCUUUGGAGGCUUUUGAUCAACUCCCAACUCAAACAAGUCCUUUUGGUAGUACAUUUCAACAAACACAGUCAGCAUUUGGAAGAUUUAUUUCCUUCUCAAGGGUUUUCUUUGGUCUUUGUGUGGUCACAACAAGGGAUACAGAUUGUUGUGUCUUUCAGAUUCAAGAUCCGGCGGAUGAUACCCAGAAAUGGAAAGUCCGACAGUGACAUUCCUGUCAAAUCUCAGAUGCUCCUCUUGGAAGCAAGGGAAGAUUCUUCACUUAAUAACAAAACCAAAGGAAUAGCCGUUCCAAAAUUGCUAUUUUGGUGUAGUGACUAGGGAUUGAAAAUCUAUUUUUUGUCACAAUUAGGCUUUUGGGAGGUGCUUUUGGUCUAAAGAUCCCUAAGCUUUUUUUUUUACUCAAUUAUGUUAUCUUAGUGAGCUAAGUGACUUGAUAUUGUAGAGUGGAACCGAAUGAUCACCAUUACUAAGAGAACUGUUUGAGCAGAUCUUAUGUACAUGACUAUAUCUCAUGGUUGUUUUUCUUUCAUGGAAGUAUCACCCAAACGAAGAUUAGUGUUUCGUUCUUCAACUGAGACCCUUUUAUGUAGCCAAGCUAGCUCAAUUGAUUAUUGUACUGCCUCACUUUUUUGUAUACGGCAUGUUUUGGCAUGUUUGCAGUGCACACUACCUAAUGAAUGGCUCAGCUAGCUGACAUACAUGUUACCCAACGUUGGGAACCAGCCCAGGCAUGGUAGUUGUGAUGGGCCCCACAUUCUAUUAAAACACAAAUCUUCUCUCUAGAGGGCUUUCGUGACAUUGAUGAUUGAUUGGUCUAAUUUGAUGUUGAUAUUUUACAUCAAAUUAAACUGAUUAAUCAUGAUAUUUGGAGCAACCAAAAUAACAAAUUAACUAUCUUCUCAAGAAGCAUCGAUCUUAAUUUAUGGAAAGGCCCCCUUGAUCAAAUUUCUGUUGAAGAUAUAUGGUUGUGGGUGUUCAUGAAUUCUAAUGCUUUUAUAUCAUCAGGAAAUCUCAGAUGAUUUCCAUGGUAGCAAUGUUCUGUACAUCCCUGGAGUGAUGACUCAGACAGAAGUUUUGAAUGCAUCUAAUGCUGGUGCAAGAAUAGUCAAGCGAUCCAGAUUGUUCGUCCAUGGCGGGUGUGAGAUACCAUGAAGUUCUCCCCCAUCUGAUGAUCCUAAUUGUUCAACUUGGCUUCCAUUAAAUUUGGACCAUUUGUCGUGAUGGAUAGGAUCAUCAGAUAAGGGAGAUAUUGGGGCCGUGCCUUCCCAUGAUGAGGCCCACCAUAUCAAUGGCUUAUAUUGGUGAAAUGUGCAGUCCACCUUACUGUUGUCGGGUCGAACAGAAUAGGUCAGUUCUUUUGAUAAAGCAUCAUAAAAGAUCUCUUGUUUUUUAUUUGUAAAAUGGAUAUAUUGUAUAGACUAUGUAAUAACAGCAGAGCAUGCAUGUUGCCUUCUGAUUUCAUGCACACAAUCCGUUCGCAUGAUGGAUGGUUUUUCCCCAUGCAUGACUUUUGCUUGAUGAACAAGUCACGGUAAGCUAAUCAUGCCUUCUGAUCAUCUGCUUGGCCUGAUUUUUCUGCUGUGGCGAGUAUAUCGUGUGAACUGCUAGAAGUGUAGUCUGGAUUUUGUAUCUGUCUGCCAUGUGCUGCAGUGGAAACUCAUGAGCAGAAGUGUGUGCAAUUAGUAUUUUGCUUUAACCCAAUGCAGAGUUUGGAAUUGUAUGAGUUGUUUGACAGUACGAAUCUCAUUAGUGGUAGUUCAGGUAUGUUGUGCAUUGUGACAACAAACUUUCAAUUAAUUUAGGAGAGAAUUGGAGCUUUCGGCCUCUUCUAUUGUGUUUAGGUCCUUUAGGGCAUGUUCUGCACACCUUCAAAAAGGGAUUUUGAGACCCAAUGCCAUUUUUGAGAUGUGUGUUUGGAUGCCCUUAACUCCCAUUUGAUUGCUCCUCUUGACAAAACAGGUGCUAAAAAGACCACUUGCCAAAAACCAACCAGAUUGGUUUUGGCGAAUCAUGCUACAGGCCUGCUUUUGCGGAAACUCCCUUUAGCGGAAGUUGUGUCCAAACCAGACCUAAAAAUAAAAUAAAAUAAAACAUCAAAGCUUAACUUGAUUGCUUAUUUCUUACUCCCUCUGCUUAUUUCUUACCCCCUCUUUUCCUCUCUUUUCAAUUGCGAAAACAGCAUGCUAUUAAUGCAUAUCAUUGUAAUUUUUAUUUUUUUUUGAAAUGCCUCUUUGUAAGCUUCAGUUCUUCAUAGGUCUUCUCCUUCUCCUAUAUGCUACACUAACUUUGAUGAAGGUGGUAAUAGUAACUCUAGUUUACUCUGUCAUUGAUGUUGAAAGUAUUUUUUCAUAGUUUAACAAAAUCUCCACUGAUUUUUUAUUUUCUUUUCCAAAAUUUCUUUCUGCCAGGUUUAUCCAAUCUCAUCAUUAGGCGGUGCUCAAUAUAUUUCGGCACUCAAGAGAACAUUUUCUCAUAUUCCAAUGGUUGCUUCCCAAGGCAUAACAAUAGGUUGAUUGUUUGAAUUGUAGAGUCUCAUUCCAAUGGUUGCUUCCCAAGGCAUAACAAUGCAGAUUCAAACUUUGGUUUAUAUGAUAGUUUGAAUGUAAUCAUUAUCUUCACCAAGAAAUUUAGAAUUAGCUUAAGGUUUGAAAGAUUUACCUCAUAUGAUUUGUGAGAUUUGGGAUAUAUUGUUUGUUAGCAUAGAUUUAAUUGUUGUAUCAACGUUCUUCCUAAGAUUGCUUUUAGAUGGAGUUGUCAUGAUCCGACAUGGCCAGAUGACAACCUGGGAUUGGGUAUCAUAUAUACAAUCAAUUUUUAAUGGAAAUGCAGAUUUUAUAUGUUUGGGA